rnacentral:rRNA from 1 species
UGGGGAAUAUUGGACAAUGGGCGAAAGCCUGAUCCAGCCAUGCCGCGUGUGUGAAGAAGGUCUUCGGUUUGUAAAGCACUUUAAGUUUGGAGGAAGGGCAGUAAGCGAAUACCUUGCUGUUUUGACGUUACCGACAGAAUAAGCACCGGCUAACUCUGUGCCAGCAGCCGCGGUAAUACAGAGGGUGCAAGCGUUAAUCGGAAUUACUGGGCGUAAAGCGCGCGUAGGUGGUUUGUUAAGUUGAAUGUGAAAGCCCCGGGCUCAACCGGGGAACUGCAUCCAAAACAGGCGAGCUAGAGUAGGGCAGAGGGUGGUGGAAUUUCCUGUGUAGCGGUGAAAUGCGUAGAUAUAGGAAGGAACACCAGUGGCGAAGGCGACCACCUGGGAUCAUACUGACACUGAGGUGCGAAAGCGUGGGGAGCAAACAGG